ACUGUGUAGCUCUGGCUGUCCUAGAACUCAUUAUGUAGACCAGACUAGCCUCAAACUCAGAGAGAUCCACCUGCUUCUGCCUCCCUACUGCUGAAUGUUGUGAGGUGCGCCACUACAAUAGAUUUUAUUUGUAAAAAAUAUUUUAUAUUUUUAUGUAAGUUCUGGUUAAAUAAAAUUUAAAAUUUAGUUUCUCAAUUGCAUCAGCAUAUUUCAGAGUAUUGGUAGCCAUAGCUAGCACAUGUUUUUAGUCCCAGCACUCCAGAGCAUAUGUCACAGCAGACAUGUGAGUUCAAGACCAGUCUAGUCUACAUGGAAAGUUCAGGCCAACUAGGACCACAUAGUGAGACUCUGUCUCCAAAACUGAAAGGCUAAGGAUUUGGAAAUGCUAUUUUAUUUUGUAGCUCUCCUGUUGAUAAAAGUCUGCUCACAGGGGCUAGAGAGAUGGCUCAGUGGUUAAAAAUGAGUACUGCUUUUUCAGAGGACCCCAGUUUGGAUCCCAGGACCCAGGUUGGUGCUCAGACCUGCCUGUAACUACAAUUCCAGAGGCUCUGAUAUACCUUCUAGCCUCCUUGAGCACCUACACACAUGUGUGAUACAUACAGACAAUUUUUAAAAAUAAAAAUGUAUCUUCUAAAAAAACAACUUGCUCAUAAGAGCAUAAAAAAACACCUUUUAAAUCACUUUCUACCAGUAGAAAUAAAAUUUGAUACGUUUUGGUGUAUGAAAGUCAAUAAUGCAGUGUUUAAUUAAAUCUUCUUAAAUACAUAUAAGAACAACUUUCAAUGUCAUAGAGCCUAGAAUAGGUAAUCCUUUGUGUGUGUGUGCGUGUAUGUAUGUAUGUGUGUGUGUGUAUAUAUAUAUAUAUAUAUAUAUAUAUAUAUAUAUGCACACACACAAAUAUACAUUUAUUUAUUUUAAAUUUCAUUAUAGU
rnacentral:lncRNA from 1 species